rnacentral:lncRNA from 10 species
UGUUCCCUCUGCCACCAAUGUCCUCUUCCUCUUCUACCAAUAAGCUGUAGGUCAUCUUUAACACACGGUUCACAGGCCACCUCCUCUGUAAAGCCCUCCUUGACUCUCUACCCCAACAACAUCAGUAUUUUCCUCCUCUGAGCUGCCCCAGGCCCCACAUCCCCGUUUGCCACAGCCCUGAUCACCUCAAGCUGUGACCAUCUGUGUCUGUAGCACCUCCCCCUCCUAGUCCUGGAGGCCCUUCAGGUAGAAACAGGGUCUGACUCAUGAGGGAGCUUUGCUCAAGUGAGCCCUGCAUGUCCUCACUUGAGCAAACACCUCCUGGUACCCUUCCUGAGCCGUCUCCUGAGCUACCCAAGGCUGGAAACCCUGGUGCCAGUGGUACCAAGCCCCUAGCCUCAGGCUCCCAGCCUAGCUAGGGAGAAACAGCCAAAUACACAGAGGAAUGUGUGCAGAGCUCACACAACUCUCUCUUCUAAGCUCUAAGGGUUAGCGUGAUGUGGGCAGACAAGGAAACUGAGGCAGGGGCAGGGAAGACUUUGCUUCUAGGAGGGAAGCUGGGAUUCCUAUAAGACCCCCACCUCCCCACCAUGGCUUCCUGUUGCUUUGGAGCCCUUCUUAUGGAGACAUUCCCUGGCACUCUCUUCCAUGGCAGCACCUAAAUGGGAGAACAUCCGGGGUCAAGCAUGAACUGCACUGCGUUGUCUUUAUGAAAGAGAAACAAAAACUCAGGACCCCAAUUCACUGUGACAGAAGGAAAAAAAAAAAACUGGAAGCUGAGUCAUGCAAGAAACUGCCUUUCCUUUUGUUCCUAAGCAGACAGCUACAGAGAAAAGGAAGCCUUUACACCCAGGCAGCUCAGCGUCCAGAGCUGGUUCCACUCAUCCCCUUCAAGGAGAGGAAAACUGAGCCCUGGGAAGGAGAAGUAAAGCUGGAGUCACAAAGCCAGGAAAUGGUGGCCAGGGGCACGACCCAGGCCUUAUAAACAACCUGCACUCUUCCCCCUGCAACACAGCCUGCUGAGGACGCUCAUCAGUCAUCUCAGUGGUUCACUUCCAAUCUCUUCAUCUGCCAAGCACCCAGCAUGUUCCAGCAAAGACAAAUUAUUCCUAUGGCAAACUGACCUGCAUGCAGUUUACAGGACUUUAUGUUAUAAAGAGGAGGGAUCUAUGGCACUUAAUGAAAAGUUACACUUAAAGAUUUUCAUAGGCCUGGCUGGGUGUGGUGUCUCAUGCCUGUAAUCCCAGCACUUUGGGAGGCAGAGGUGGGUGGAUCACCUGAGGUCAGGAGUUCGAGACCAGCCUGGCCAACAUGGUGAAACCCUGUCUCUACUAAAAAUACAAAAAUUAGCUGGGCAUGAUGGCAUGUGCCUGUAAUCCCAGCUACUUGGCUGGGGCAGGAGAAUGGCUUGAACCCAGGGGGCGGAGGUUGCAGUGAGCUGAGAUUGUGCCAUUGCACUCCAGCCUGGGCGACAGAGUGAGACUCCAUCUCAAAAAUAAAAGAAAGGAUCUUUACAGGCCUUCGUGUACUGACCAGAGGAGCAAAAAUGAAUAAAAGGAUUACAACAUGAGGCUGACAUUGCUGUGCGCCUAUAUCCUUGAGUGCUGGUGGCCCCAUGGAUUAGAUCAACACCUUGGAAGCUAAUUUGACACUAGACCAACAAAGUCCUUUGACCUGGAGUUUCACUUUGGCAAAAAAUAAUAAAUAAAUAAAUAAAUAAAAUCCCUAAAGUGUAUAAAGAGAAAGGAAGUUGUGAUAUUUGGAAAUUGUGGGCUUUGAGUAAAGAGGCUGAUAUUCUAGACCUGCUAUCAUUUCACUAUUACCUGAACAAUUUACUUCCUCUUUCUAGCCUUCCAUCUCUUCCUGCAAAAUAAGGCAUGCUUUUCAAUCUCUUCACCAUACAGGAAAAGGAAAUAGAAAUAGAAAUAAAUAAAGCCCACUCCAGGAGCAGUGGCUCACGCCUGCUGUCCCAACACUCUGGGAGGCUGAGGCGGGCGGAUCGCAUGAGCUCAGGAGUUCCAGGCCAGCCUGGGCAACAUAGAGAAACCCCGUCCCUACCAAAAAUAUAAAAAAGUAGCCAGGCAUGGUGGUGUGCACCUGUAGUCCCAGGUACUUGGGAGGCUGAGGUGGAAUGAUCUCUUGAGCCUGGGAAGUGGAGGUUGCAGUGAGCCAAAAUUGCAUCAUUGCACUUCAGCCUGGAUGAUAGAGCAAGACCCCCUGUCAAAAAAGACAAAGAAAGAAAGAAAUAGACAAAGCCCAAUGCUAGCAGUGCUGUGGAACUAACAUCUUAGGAUUGGUGAAGAGAGUGGACAUAGCACUUGUGGAAAGAGCCAUAUUUCCUGGGGGCCAUAAGGCCACAUAUGCCCUGUGAAGACUGACCAGGGAGUGUUGGGCUGCUACCCACAUUUCAUCUAUUUGUCAGGCAAAAAUGCUUUAAAGAUCAUUCCACUUGACUUUCCUUUAAAUAAAAAUCAUGUGGGAAUGGAAUGGAAUUGACGAGUGGCAUGGUGUAUGCUGAAAUUUUUAGAAGCUGCCAGAUUGCUUUCCAUAGUGGUUGUACCAUCUUACAUUCCCACCAGCAGCGUGAGCGUUCCAGUGCCUCCACAUCCUUGCCAACACUUGGCGUGGUCACUCUUUUUAAUCUUAGCCAUUCUAAUAGUUCUGUAGUGGUUUUAUUGUCUUAUUUUCUUAUUGUGGUUUUAUUCUGCAUGUUUUUAUUGAGACAGAGCCUCAUUACGUUGCCCAGGCUGGAGUACAGUGGGCCCAUCAUAGCUCACUUUCUUUUCAGGAAAGUCUUCCCUGAUCUUUCAGUCUAGGUCAGAAGCCCAGUAAUAUACAGUCAUAAGGCCCCAUAUUUAUUCUUUUUGUGAUUUUUUUUGAGAUGGAUUUUUUUUUCACUCCAGACUGGAGUGGAAUGGCACAGUCUUGGCUAAAUGCAAGCUCCACCUCCCGGGUUCAAGCCAUCCUUGUGCCUCAGCCUCCCAAAUAGCUGGGAUUACAGGCAUGAGCCACUAUACCCAUCUAAUUUUUAAAUUUUUGGUAGAGACAGGGUAUUAGCAUGUUGCCCAGGCUGGUCUCGAACUCCUGACUUCAUCAGCUUCCCAAAGUGCUGAGAUUAAAGGUGUGAGCCACCAUGCCUGGCUCAAGUUUGA